rnacentral:rRNA from 1 species
UACGUAGGGUGCGAGCGUUGUCCGGAAUUAUUGGGCGUAAAGGGCUCGUAGGCGGUUUGUCGCGUCGGGAGUGAAAACCCAGGGCUUAACCCUGGGCUGGCUUCCGAUACGGGCAGACUAGAGGUAUGCAGGGGAGAACGGAAUUCCUGGUGUAGCGGUGAGAUGCGCAGAUAUCAGGAGGAACACCGGUGGCGAAGGCGGUUCUCUGGGCAUUACCUGACGCUGAGGAGCGAAAGUGUGGGGAGCGAACAGG